UACGUAGGGGCCAAGCGUUGUCCGGAUUUAUUGGGCGUAAAGAGCUCGUAGGCGGUUCGGCAAGUCGAAUGUGAAAUCUCCACGCUCAACGUGGAGGGGGUCAUUCGAUACUGCCGUGACUCGAGUCCGGUAGGGGAGUGUGGAAUUCCCGGUGUAGCGGUGAAAUGCGCAGAGAUCGGGAGGAACACCCGUAGCGAAGGCGGCACUCCUGGGCCGGUACUGGACGCUGAGGAGCGGAAAGCGU
rnacentral:rRNA from 1 species